CAGAAAGAAAGGAGGGACAACCAAAGCAAAAACUGCCAUAAUCCUAGAGUUUCUUGAUCAGGAUGCUGAUGCUGACAUUAGGAGGGAGUGUAUACUUAAAUCUCUCAUUAUCUACCUUGGAGAACGUGUUGAGGACUUGAUAAAAGAAUACAUGAUAUCCCAGAAAGAUGAAGCUGAGGAAGAGCUGCAGAGUACCACCAUGGCACUCUUUGUCUUCAGGGACAACUCAAGCCUCCUACAUCAGCCUCGAG